rnacentral:tRNA from 1 species
GCAUCCGUAGCUCAAUUAGGCAGAGCAGGGGCCUCUUAAGCCCAAGGUUGAAGGUUCGAUUCCUUCCGGAUGCA